CUUGGUCAUUUAGAGGAAGUAAAAGUCGUAACAAGGUUUCCGUAGGUGAACCUGCGGAAGGAUCAUUAUUGAAAUUAUAGGUGAGGGUUGUAGCUGGCCUCUCGGGGCAUGUGCACGCCCGAGCCCUUAAUCCACACACACCUGUGAACCUAUUGUAAGGGCCCUUAAAAAAGGCCUUUACGUCUUAUCAUCAACCCAUCGUAUGUCUCAUAGAAUGUAAAUAUAUGUCCUCGCCUUAAAAAGCGUUGAUAAACUUAUACAACUUUCAACAACGGAUCUCUUGGCUCUCGCAUCGAUGAAGAACGCAGCGAAAUGCGAUAAGUAAUGUGAAUUGCAGAUUUUCAGUGAAUCAUCGAAUCUUUGAACGCACCUUGCGCUCCUUGGUAUUCCGAGGAGCAUGCCUGUUUGAGUGUCACGUGAAACCCUCACCCCUGCGAUGUCAAAGUCGUGGACGGUGGAUUUGGACGCUGCCGUUGUUGGCUCGUCUCGAAAUGCAUUAGCCGUGCGCGUCGUGCCAGUGCCUCUCGGUGUGAUAAUUAUCUACGCCGCUCAGAGUGCCCGUGCCCAAGACCGUGGCUCAUAGCCGUCUUCGGACAAUUUUCUUAACGCUCUGGCCUCAAAUCAGGUAGGACUACCCGCUGAACUUAAGCAUAUCAAUAAGCGGAGGA
rnacentral:rRNA from 1 species